rfam:Canis lupus familiaris chromosome 13, whole genome shotgun sequence.
AGGAGCAACAGCCCUAGUGGCGGGGCCAGCUCUGCAGCCCUGGAGUCAGCUCCGGCAGGAACUCCGGAGCUCUCGGUCUGCAGGGCCUGGAGGCUCCGGGGCGGG